UACGUAGGGUGCAGGCGUUAAUCGGAAUUACUGGGCGUAAAGCGUGCGCAGGCGGUUUGCUAAGACAGGUGUGAAAUCCCCGGGCUUAACCUGGGAACUGCGCUUGUUACUGGCAGGCUUGAGUGUGGCAGAGGGGGGUGGAAUUCCGACGUGUAGCAGUGAAAUGCGUAGAGAUGUGGAGGAACACCGAUGGCGAAGGCAGCCUUCUGGGCCAACACUGACGCUCAUGCACGAAAGCGUGGGGAGCAAACAGG
rnacentral:rRNA from 1 species